UACGGAGGGAGCUAGCGUUGUUCGGAAUUAUUGGGCGUAAAGCGCUUGUAGGCGGCACGUCAAGUCGCGUGUGAAAUCCCCAGGCUUAACCUGGGAAGUGCGCGCGAAACUGACGAGCUUGAGUGCCGGAGAGGGUCGCGGAAUUCCCGGUGUAGAGGUGAAAUUCGUAGAUAUCGGGAGGAACACCAGUGGCGAAGGCGGCGACCUGGACGGACACUGACGCUGAGACGCGAAAGCGUGGGGAGCAAACAGG
rnacentral:rRNA from 1 species